UUAGACAAAGAAAAUGCAAAGAAGUAACGAAAAUAUAAAUGUUAAAGUAACGUCAAUUUAAAUGUUAAAGUAACGUCAAUUUAUAACGUUGAUGAAUAGUCUCUUUGAAUGGUCUUCAAAAUAAGUUUUAUAGCUUUGCAACUUUUGGCUAUUGCUGCAAAUGUGGUUGGAUAUUUUAUACUCGUUAAUCAAAAUACUCAAACUUCAAAUGAUGAUAUUCCUAAACUUAAAGAAUGCAAUUUGAUGUCAAAAUAUGCAGUGCAGGUUAUUUAUGAUGAGUUUGUGGUUACAUUUCAACUAAAGCGCGAGGAUAAUGAUAAUAUUUUGUACUUAUCUAAUCAAGUUAAUGUUUUUGCAACACUCACCCUAACAAAAAAAGGUAGCAAAUGGAAUUUUGAAAUUGCAUCCUACAAUAGUACCAGCUAUACUUUAUCAGAAAAAGAAUCUUAUUUAAUCAAUAUAUCCUCCAGGUUUAUUUCUAACAGAUAUUUAAUUAAUAUAGUGGUAGAUACAACAAAUUUCUUCAAUUUAACUUAUGAUUUCCCACAACAAAACUUUAAUAUAAGUGCAAAGACUGUUUCUAACAUUAUGGAUUUACAAAUUGAAAGUAAAACACAAGAUGUUACAAAUUCAUGGAAUUAUUGGAGAGAUUGCAGUACUUUUUGUUCAUAUUUAUGCAAUGGUGGUAGUAUUGUUAAUAAAUUACCUUGUUCUAGUACCAGUUCUUUUGGAGAUUUAGUGAUUAAAGCCGACAACAUCUUAUUACAAUAUAAUUUGACUUCAAUAUUGAUUAAUGUUAUCUAUGAAGAAUUUGUUAUAGCAUUUGAUGUGUACAAAACUGAUGUACAUCAAAAAAAUAUUUUAUGCUUUUUUAUCGAGAAUAGUAAUGGUAUUGGUAAUGAAUUUAUACAAGUUAAUUAUACGGCUAGCAGUAAAUUAAAAAUUGCUUUUUUUAACUUAACAUUAACAAAUUAUGAUAUGGAAUUAAAUUCAUGGAGUACAAUUAAAAUUUCGCAGCAGUAUAUCAACAGCUCGUAUAUGUAUUCAGUUGUUGUUAAUGGAAUAGUUGCAUUCUCUGAUAUUAAUAUGCUGCCAAAUAUUUUUUCAAAUAUCAGUGUAUAUAAUUCUGAUAAAACUGAUUCACCUGAACAAAUGAAGAAUCUGUAUAUUAUCAGUAAAACACAAGUGUUUUGGUCUCAAUGGGGAUAUUGGUCAAACUGCAAUCCAUCAGGAUUUUCAACUAGAACUCGUGAUUGUAAAUCUAAUAGAUGGUUAACUUGUUCAGGAAACAGUACUGAGUCAAAAACCUGCAACAUAAACCCAUGUUAUAUGAAAUUAGAUGGAGUAUAUUUAAUUCAAGAUGUUUUAAUGUUUCUAAAUUGUACUUCACAACAAGCAAGCUAUGUAAACUGUUCUGCUAAUCAAAUGUUUGAUCCAGCAUACAAUAAAUGUAUGGAUGUUGCAAAUUAUAACUUAAGCAAUUUUUGUAAUGGAAAGUUUGAUAGCAAUUAUCGAAAUCCAUGGAACUGUCGUAGUUUUAUUUCUUGUCAUGGUUAUUCAUCAUCUAUAACAAAUUGUCAGGAAGGAUUAGUUUUUUAUCCAAUCAUUAAUAAAUGUGAUUAUGACUAUAGUUUUCAAUGCAUUACCAUAACAUUUUCUGCAAGUUCUACAAUACAUUCUACAACUACACAAUUUUUUCAACAUCCAACACUGACACCAUCUACAGAUUUAUUGAGUCUAAACAUCUUUUAUGAAGCAUCAACACCAUUAACUCCAAAUUUGAAAAAUAUAGUAUCUACUGAAAGAAAGUUAUUUGAAUCUGCAUUAAUAAGUUCUUCGGUUGCACUGGUUUUUCAAUCUUUAUCACUGGAACCAUCUUCAACACUGGCACCAUCUAUAAGUUUAUUGACUUUGAAUACCGUUUACGAACCACUAACAACAAUAACUCCAAGUCCAAAAAUUAUUGAAUGGUCAAUGUGGAGUGAAUGCUCUACAACUUGUGGAAAAGGUAGCAGAAUUCGAAAUUCUCUAAAUAUUGCAUCGAAUCCUGUAAUUGAAGAAUGCAAUUCGAGUUGUCCAGAAGAUGGAAGUUGGGGAAAUUGGAGUAUCUCGGAAUGUUCAACUACUUGUGGUGGAGGAAAUAUCUAUUUUAAUAGAAGUUGUGACAGUCCACGCCCUUCGUAUGAUGGUCUAGGUUGUAUGGGUGUAAAUAUUUACACUGAAGACUGUUCUAUCAAUACAGUUUGUCCAGUAAAUGGUAAUUGGUCAAAUUGGUCUUCAUGGUCUUUGUGCAACCAACCAUGCGAAGGUGGAAUAAAAUCAAGAUUUCGUGUUUGCUUCGAACCUUCUCCAAAGUAUGGUGGGCAACUUUGUGAUGGAAACAGUACUGAAAUUGCUGAUUGUUCAUUGAACAGUUGCAAAAAAGCAAAACUGAAUUUAAGUAUUUUUUUUGUGGACGAACUUUAUCUUUUGAAUUCCGAACUUAAAGACAAAAUAAAUAUAGCGAUAUCAAACCUUUAUAAAGAUUUCAAAAGAACUGUUACUUCUAAUAUCGUGUUGCAUUCUAUAAGCUAUCAAGUUGCUUCAAAAAUACCUCAGAGCACUCAGAAGUUUUAGAGCACUGUGGAAGACCAUUUUGAUCAGCAGAAAGUUCACACCUUCUUUUUUACUAAUGUCGCUUAACUGACCAGAGAUGCAAUCAAACCAUGAAUCGCGUUGUUUUAAGCCAAAAUUCUAACCACUGUCUCGUAGCUGUUUUACAUCUUUUUCAGUUAUGUUAUUCAAAAAAAUUCAAGUUAAAGUCUCUACAACGUUUAUGCUUAAGCUGUGCGGUUGUUAAAGAGGUUUUUGAUACUAUUGAAUAUCCCCUUCCUUUUUUAUUGAAUACCCCCUUUCUUCGUAUUUUUAAGCUUUCAUUCUAAAGUUGAGUUUUCUAAAGAUAUUAACUAUAAUCAAUUUAGUUAAAACUAUGACCUGAAAGUUUUUUAAGUUUAAUUAAUGGUUCAAACUAAACAAACUCUCGGUUAAUAUAACUAAAAGCAAACACACUAUCAUUUAAAAAAUUCUCAAAGAAACCUGGCUCUUAAAGUUCUCGAUAUUAUAAUA